AGGCAGCGGUGGACGGGUCCAGAGCGGCUGCGUCAGACUCGGACGGAGCCUGAGCAGAUCAGCGCUAUCGCAGGACGGGCUGCAGCCGCGCUUGACCAUGACCAUGGAGGAGCCGUCAGUGCGGGAGCCGCGGGAACGGGCAGCACAAUUUCAGAGUCUGUGGGAAACGUCGGGACAGUUCACCCCUAACGAUGUCAACAGAAGUCUUCAAAGUAUAAGGACAAUUUCAUAUACAGUGUACGCGUUUCGUGUAUAUAAUCGAUUAUAAAGACGAUUUCGAAUACAGUCAAAAGACCGUAAUCGUACGUUAGAAAGUUAACAGUAAUGUCAUAACCUCAUCUAAUGAUCUACCUACUCAGCUAACGUCUAGUCCUAGCUACAUGUUUAAAAUUUCCCAACAACGUCUAUUAUAACUACUUCUUUUCAAACUGGUGUCUAUUCUAGGUUUAUUAAUUUCAUUGGAUUACUCUUUAAUCUUUUUCAGUCUAUGGUAACAUCCCUCCAUGUUAAAAAAAAAUGCUUUUGUUGAGAUGAAAUUCACACAAUUUUCAAGUGCUCCAUCCAGUGCCGGUUAGUAUACUCACAAUGCUGUGCAAGUAAUUUGACUUUUUAAAUAAACAUUUUUUAAUCGA